rnacentral:rRNA from 1 species
AGAGUUGAUCAUGGCUCAGGAUGAACGCUAGCGACAGGCUUAACACAUGCAAGUCGAGGGGCAGCAUAAAAGUAGCAAUACUUGGUGGCGACCGGCGCACGGGUGAGUAACGCGUAUGCAACCUACCUAUCAGAGGGGAAUAACCCGGCGAAAGUCGGACUAAUACCGCAUAAAACAGGGGCACCGCAUGGUGAUAUUUGUUAAAGAGAUUCGCUGAUAGAUGGGCAUGCGUUCCAUUAGGUAGUUGGUGAGGUAACGGCUCACCAAGCCGACGAUGGAUAGGGGAACUGAGAGGUUGGUCCCCCACACUGGUACUGAGACACGGACCAGACUCCUACGGGAGGCAGCAGUGAGGAAUAUUGGUCAAUGGGCGGGAGCCUGAACCAGCCAAGUCGCGUGAAGGAAGAAGGGUCUAUGGUUCGUAAACUUCUUUUGCGAGGGGAAUAAAGUGCAGGACGUGUCCUUGUUUUGUAUGUACCCUGAGAAUAAGGAUCGGCUAACUCCGUGCCAGCAGCAGC